rnacentral:lncRNA from 1 species
UCCUGGUGUCUAUGAUGAGUUUAUUUAUAUUUGGAAUUUAAUACAAUAUAAUGAUCCUUGUAAAUAAACUCAUCAUAGAUACUAGGACUAAAUUUUGUAUAUACGCCAGACGCGCAUUUCGUGUACAAAAGACUCAUCAGUGACGCUCGAAUCCAAAAAAGUUAAAAAGGCCAAAUAAAGUACGAAGUUGAAGAGCAUUGAGGACCAAAAUUCCUUAAAGUUUUGCAAAAUCCAUCUAAGGUAAGUGAUCCAUGUUACUAAUACAUACAAAAUGUGACUUUUAUAAAAACUUUUAUCAAAGGGAAUAUCUUUAUACUUUGGAUUCAUUUAUUUUUGGUGGAUAUUUUUUUCCUGGAUUGAGGAAAACUUUGGUUGAUAUUUGAUUUCCUCGUUGAACCAAUCUCUACAAGCAAAGCCUAUGCAAAAUUUGGGAUUUGUUGAACAUUUUAAAUUGUGGCUCACUUAAUAUACCAACAAAACUCACGAAAAUUGAAAUCCAACAACUAUUAAUGAAUCUACAGUAUGUAACUUAUUAACUCUUUAUAUAUUCUCCUUACACACAUUGCCUUUCUAAAUUAUGAUUGGUCAAUGACUUUGUUACUUGUCUAUCACAAAACCAGAUUUAAGGAAAUUUGUUUUCAAGAUUUAAUAAACACAUGCAUGGCAAUGGU